CUCUUUUUGGUAGAAUGUUAUUCUACUGCAUUUUCACUGCAGAGAUGCGAGUUCGAUUUUCGCAAGGGGUG
rnacentral:tRNA from 1 species